AUACGUAGGGUGCGAGCGUUGUCCGGAAUUACUGGGCGUAAAGAGCUCGUAGGCGGUUUGUCGCGUCGUCUGUGAAAUCCCGCAGCUCAACUGCGGGCUUGCAGGCGAUACGGGCAGACUCGAGUACUGCAGGGGAGACUGGAAUUCCUGGUGUAGCGGUGAAAUGCGCAGAUAUCAGGAGGAACACCGGUGGCGAAGGCGGGUCUCUGGGCAGUAACUGACGCUGAGGAGCGAAAGCGUGGGUAGCGAACAGGAUUAGAUACCCUGGUAGUCCACGCCGUAAACGGUGGGCGCUAGGUGUGGGUUUCCUUCCACGGGAUCCGUGCCGUAGCCAACGCAUUAAGCGCCCCGCCUGGGGAGUACGGCCGCAAGGCUAAA
rnacentral:rRNA from 1 species